GGGAUUCUUCUUCACUCUUGCAUGGCAUUGAAAGACCAUUAAAUGGGACAUAUGGAUCCCCAAUGCAAGUUAACUCUUUGGCGAAUCAUCCUCUGGUGAGUGCUCCAACCUGGUCUGCUCAAACUCAAUCCACCUUGUCGGCUAAAGGUGGGCCAGAGCACAAGUUUGCCAAUCAUUCUGCUGUUAAUGCUCAGGGAACCACAGACUCAAGAGCAUUAAGAUCG
rnacentral:misc_RNA from 1 species